CCUACGGGAGGCAGCAGUGAGGAAUAUUGGUCAAUGGGCGCGAGCCUGAACCAGCCAAGUAGCGUGAAGGAUGACUGCCCUACGGGUUGUAAACUUCUUUUAUAAAGGAAUAAAGUGAGGCACGUGUGCCUUUUUGUAUGUACUUUAUGAAUAAGGAUCGGCUAAAUCCGUGCCAGCAGCCGCGGUAAUACGGAGGAUCCGAGCGUUUUCCGGAUUUAUUGGGUUUAAAGGGAGCGUAGAUGGGUUGUUAAGUCAGUUGUGAAAGUUUGCGGCUCAACCGUAAAAUUGCAAUUGAUACUGGCAGCCUUGAGUACAGUUGAGGUAGGCGGAAUUCGUGGUGUAGCGGUGAAAUGCUUAGAUAUCACGAAGAACUCCGAUUGCGAAGGCAGCCUACAAAACUGCCACUGACAUUGAGGCCCGAAAGCGUGGGGAGCAAACAGGAUUAGAUACCCGUGUAGUC
rnacentral:rRNA from 1 species